rnacentral:misc_RNA from 1 species
GAUGAAGAACGUAGUGAAAUGCGACAAGUAAUGUGAAUUGCAGAAUUCAGUGAAUCAUCGAAUCUUUGAACGCACAUUGCGCCCUCUGGUAUUCCGGGGGGCAUGCCUGUUCGAGCGUCAUUAUAACCACUCAAGCUCUCGCUUGGUAUUGGGGUUCGCGGUUCCGCGGCCCCUAAAAUCAGUGGCGGUGCCUGUCGGCUCUACGCGUAGUAAUACUCCUCGCGAUUGAGUCCGGUAGGUCUACUUGCCAGCAACCCCCAAUUUUUACAGGUUGACCUCGGAUCAGGUAGGGAUACCCGCUGAACUUAAGCAUAUCAAUAAGCGGAGGA